GUGGGGAAUAUUGCGCAAUGGGGGAAACCCUGACGCAGCAACGCCGCGUGAGUGAGGAAGGACUUCGGUCUGUAAAGCUCUGUUAAUGUGGAAAAAUGGUUAGUGGUCUAAUAGGCCAUUAAUUUGAUGGUACACAUAGAGGAAGCACCGGCUAACUUCGUGCCAGCAGCCGCGGUAAUACGAAGGGUGCAAGCGUUGUUCGGAUUUAUUGGGCGUAAAGCGCGCGUAGGCGGACCUGCAAGUCAGAUGUGAAAUCUCGGGGCUCAACCUCGAAACUGCGUCUGAAACUACAGGUCUAGAAUCUUGGAGGGGGAAGGGGAAUUUCGCAUGUAGGGGUAAAAUCCGUAGAUAUGCGAAGGAACACCAGAGGCGAAGGCGCCUUCCUGGACAAGUAUUGACGCUGAGGCGCGAAAGCGUGGGGAUCAAACAGGAUUAGAUACCCCAGUAGUCC
rnacentral:rRNA from 1 species